CUUUCUUUCAGCUACAGAAUGCCUCAGUAAUGCUCUAUUAACCCGCCAGCCUUCCUUUCAGCUACAGAAUGCCUCAGUAAUGCUCUAUUAACCCGCAGGAAGUGUUUCUCAAGAGAAGCUUGCAUACGUGCCAGCCCUUGAGCAGCAGAGUUUCGGAAAUGCGGGAGGACAUGCCACCAGGUGCCUUCGCUGGAACGUGGCCGCCAGCCGUGAGUGGCCGGGCCCAUCCCGUCCAAAGACAAAUGUCUGGAGUGCUUCCGCUCAUCUUUAAAAGGCGGCCAGGCCCGUUUAUCUUUGGAGUUCUUCUGUCUUAGGAUUUUCCCUCUCUACUGUUUGUAAUUUCAUGAGCAUGUCAGCCUAACGGUGAGCCGACCUUCAGGCUCCUAAGCGUGAAGGCCGGAGACUCUCCCUUUGUAAGGCUUAAAUCUGAGUGCAGCAAAGAAUGAGGAAACCAACCCCGGACAUUUUAAAGUCGAAUGACAAUGGAGCCAGUGCCAAUGUUGAGAAGCACUACCACCGUCCCUUAGAGUUCUAUUUUGGUAAAUACGAAUGUUUAACCAGUUGGCAAAAUAUUUAACCCAGUUAGCAAAAUUAACACCGUCAUUUCCAUAGUUACUCUGCCGUGUAUGGCAAAUGCUGCAAGAUGAACAUCCCAUUUGAUGAAGCACAUUUGAGAAAUGUUUGCCAGAAAGUGUGCCUCUGUCUCAGGACCCUAAGCCCAGGGGGAUGAACAGAGACCCCAGCAGCUCUGUGCCUGCUGCCGUGCGGGUGACUCCUCUUCCUGCCGACAAGGUGGGCGAUGAGAACGAGGAGGCCCAGUCCCACCAGGGCGCCGCCGACGGCGAUGGGGAUCGGCGUGUUGUUCUCGCCCAGCAGACGCUCCUCCGCAGAUCCGAACUGGUUGCCUUCCACCUUGAAAGCCUGGCCCCACACUGGGAAUAUGUUGAUUGAAAACGCCUUCGUGCCGCGGACACGCUCCGCUCCGGCUGUAGAAUUGCCGAUGGCUGCCCGCAAUGCUCGCAGGGAGUCGUUGGCAGCUUUAAAAGUGGGGUCUCUGGGGUCAGGAAGAGUCGUAUUCAGCUGGAUUCCUCGUAGGAAAAUCCGGCUAGAACCUGCAUUCAUCCCCAACCGGAAGCCCAGGACCGUGGUGCCCUCGCCGCGCCGCUCCCGGGUCUCCAGGUGGGCGCCGCGCUCCCGCUGGCUGAGGUCAUG
rnacentral:lncRNA from 1 species